rnacentral:rRNA from 1 species
AACCCGACUCCGUGAAGCUGGAUUCGCUAGUAAUCGCGCAUCAGCCAUGGCGCGGUGAAUACGUUCCCGGGCCUUGUACACACCGCCCGUCAAGCCAUGGAAGCCGGGGGCGCCUGAAGUCCGGGACCGCGAGGACCGGCCUAGGGCGAAACUGGUAACUGGGGCUAAGUCGUAACAAGGUAUC